GAACUGAAGAGUUUGAUCAUGGCUCAGAUUGAACGCUGGCGGCAGGCCUAACACAUGCAAGUCGAGCGGAUGAAGGGAGCUUGCUCCUGGAUUCAGCGGCGGACGGGUGAGUAAUGCCUAGGAAUCUGCCUGGUAGUGGGGGAUAACGUCCGGAAACGGGCGCUAAUACCGCAUACGUCCUGAGGGAGAAAGUGGGGGAUCUUCGGACCUCA
rnacentral:rRNA from 1 species